GGGAGCUAACCUGGGGAACUGAAACAUCUAAGUACCCUUAGGAAAGGACAUCAACCGAGACUCCGUCAGUAGCGGCGAGCGAACGCGGACCAGGCCAGUGGCAAAGUUAAGUUAAGUGGAACAAUCUGGAAAGUUUGGCCAUAGUGGGUGAUAGCCCCGUACACGAAAAUCUCUUGCCAGUGAAAUCGAGUAGGACGGAGCACGAGAAACUUUGUCUGAACAUGGGGGGACCAUCCUCCAAGGCUAAAUACUCCUGACUGACCGAUAGUGAACCAGUACCGUGAGGGAAAGGCGA
rnacentral:rRNA from 1 species